rnacentral:rRNA from 1 species
CGUGCGGUCCUAUUUUGUUGGUUUCUAGGACCGCCGUAAUGAUUAAUAGGGAUAGUCGGGGGCAUCAGUAUUCAAUUGUCAGAGGUGAAAUUCUUGGAUUUAUUGAAGACUAACUACUGCGAAAGCAUUUGCCAAGGAUGUUUUCAUUAAUCAGGAACGAAAGUUAGGGGAUCGAAGACGAUCAGAUACCGUCGUAGUCUUAACCAUAAACUAUGCCGACUAGGGAUCGGACGGUGUUAUAUUUUGACCCGUUCGGCACCUUACGAGAAAUCAAAGUGCUUGGGCUCCAGGGGGAGUAUGGUCGCAAGGCUGAAACUUAAAGAAAUUGACGGAAGGGCACCACCAGGGGUGGAGCCUGCGGCUUAAUUUGACUCAACACGGGGAAACUCA